GCCAGCGGCCAUUACAGGUUGCACGAAUCAGUUCCCAGUGGUUCACUGAAGUUAAGUAACGUUGUGCGCAGUUAGUUUCGGAUGGGUGACUAUCGAGACAAUCGAGUCCUGCUUUCU
rfam:Asian citrus Psyllid, Diaphorina citri - Florida Strain, whole genome shotgun sequence.